rnacentral:rRNA from 1 species
CCUACGGGUGGCUGCAGUGGGGAAUAUUGGACAAUGGGCGCAAGCCUGAUCCAGCCAUGCCGCGUGGAUGAUGAAGGCCCUAGGGUUGUAAAGUCCUUUCGACGGGGAAGAUAAUGACGGUACCCGUAGAAGAAGCCCCGGCUAACUUCGUGCCAGCAGCCGCGGUAAUACGAAGGGGGCUAGCGUUGCUCGGAAUCACUGGGCGUAAAGCGCACGUAGGCGGACUCUUAAGUCGGGGGUGAAAUCCCGGAGCUCAACUCCGGAACUGCCUUCGA